GACUGCGAUGGGAGGACGGAGAAGGCUAGGACAGCAACCUAUUGGAUGGUUGUUUAAGCGUUUAGGUGGGAUUCUUAGGCAAAUCCGGGAAUCCAUUCAACACUGAGGCGUGAUGACGAGGUACUACGGUACUGAAGUGUUUGAUGCCAUGCUUCCAAGAAAAGUCCCUAAGCUUCAGGUAUAAAUUAACCGUACCCCAAACCGACACAGGUGGGCUGGAUGAGAAUUCAAGGCGCUUGAGAGAACUCGGAUGAAGGAACUAGGCAAAAUGGUACCGUAACUUCGGGAGAAGGUACGCCCACGCAAGUGGGCCGCAGAGACCAGGCCGCUGCGACUGUUUAUCAAAAACACAGCACUCUGCAAACUCGAAAGAGGACGUAUAGGGUGUGACGCCUGCCCGGUGCCGGAAGGUUAAUUGAUGGGGUUAGCGCAAGCGAAGCUCUUGAUCGAAGCCCCGGUAAACGGCGGCCGUAACGAUAACGGUCCUAAGGUAGCGAAAUUCCUUGUCGGGUAAGUUCCGACCUGCACGAAUGGCGUAACGAUGGCGGCACUGUCUCCGUCCGAGACUCAGUGAAAUUGAAAUCGCUGUGAAGAUGCAGUGUACCCGCGGCUAGACGGAAAGACCCCGUGAACCUUUACUAUAGCUUUGUAUUGAACUUUGAACCUACUUGUGUAGGAUAGGUGGGAGACUAUGAAACCGGAACGCCAGUUCUGGUGGAGUCGUCCUUGAAAUACCACCCUGGUAUGUUCGGAGUUCUAACCCAGGCAUCACAAUGCCGGGGACAAUACAUGGUGGGUAGUUUGACUGGGGCGGUCUCCUCCUAAAGAGUAACGGAGGAGCGCGAAGGUGUGCUAAUCACGGUCGGAAAUCGUGAGGUUUGUGUAAAGGCAUAAGCACGCUUGACUGCGAGACAGACAAGUCGAGCAGGUACGAAAGUAGGUCUUAGUGAUCCGGUGGCUCUGAAUGGAAGGGCCAUCGCUCAACGGAUAAAAGGUACUCCGGGGAUAACAGGCUGAUUCCUCCCAAGAGUCCAUAUCGACGGGGGAGUUUGGCACCUCGAUGUCGGCUCAUCACAUCCUGGGGCUGAAGCAGGUCCCAAGGGUAUGGCUGUUCGCCAUUUAAAGUGGUACGCGAGCUGGGUUCAGAACGUCGUGAGACAGUUCGGUCCCUAUCUGCCGUGGGCGUUGGAGAUUUGAGGGAAGCUGACCUUAGUACGAGAGGACCGGGUUGGACGAACCUCUGGUGUUCCUGUUGUCACGCCAGUGGCAUUGCAGGGUAGCUAUGUUCGGACGGGAUAACCGCUGAAAGCAUCUAAGCGGGAAGCCCCUCCCAAGAUGAGAUCCCCCUGACCCCUUGAGGGUCCUAAAGGGCCGUUGGAGACUACGACGUUGAUAGGCUGGGUGUGGAAGUGCAGUAAUGUAUGCAGCUAACCAGUACUAAUUGCCCGUGAGGCUUGAUC
rnacentral:rRNA from 1 species